CAGGUUCAGCGAGUGCAGCUAGAGCUGGAGCCGGAAGCCGGGCAGCACCAUAUGCUGGGCUUUCACCAGAUAAUCAACUCCCAAUCCCUUCUGGGGCACCGUUUGAUGAAUAUGAAAUGCUUGGAUUUUUUCCUAAGCUAACAAAGGAUCAAGGCCAUCAAGCUACAGAUGUUCCUACGAAUGGAACCCCAAAUGAGCUCAACUCACAACUUCUACCAAGAACCCCUGGACCAACCCACUGGCCCUUUGACUGGCCUAGAGAGUUCCCCUCUGGAGGACACUACAACUGCAGGGCCCCUUCUUCAUCCCUAUCCAGCAGAAAGUAGCUAGAGCAGUCAUCACCCAAUUCCCAACAGCAGUUGGGGUGUCCUGUUUAGAGGGGGGAUUGAGAGGUGAAGCCAGCUGGACUUCCUGGGUCAAGUGGGGGCUUGGAGAUCUUUUCUGUCUUAGAAGGAGAUUGUAAAAGUCACCAAUCAGUGCUCUGUAAAAAUGCACCAAUCAGUGCUCUGUAACUAGCAAGAGAAUUGAAAAAUGCACAAUCAGCGCUCUGUAAAAUGCACCAAACAUCAGGAUCCCAAAAGUAGCCAAUCUCAGGGAGGAUUGAAAAAAGGGCACUCUGACAGGACAAAAACAGAACAUAGGAGGGGACAAAUAAGGGAAUAAAAGCUGGCUACCCCAGCCAGCAGAGGCAACCUGCUUGCAUCCCCUUCCACACUGUGGAAGCUUUGUUCUUUCGCUCUUCACAAUAAACCUUGCUACUGCUCACUCUUUGGGCCCGUGCCACCUUUAAGAGCUGUAACACUCACUGCAAAGGUCUGCGGCUUCAUUCUUCAUUCACUGGAAGCAACCAACUUGGGACACACCACCAUGCCUGGUUAAUUUUUUGUAUUUUCAGUAGAGGUGGGGUUUCACUGUGUUAGCCAGGAUUGUCUUGAUCUCCUGACCUCAUGAUCUGCCUGCCUCUGCCUCCCAAAGUGCUGGGAUUACAGGCGUGAGCCGCUAUGCCCGGUGAACACAUACAUUUUCAACAGAAGAGCAAGAGAGCAUAGAACCCAGAAUAGCAGAGGCAUAUAGGCCCCGUUUUGCAGGAGUCAAAUAACUUAAUUCUUAGCACAAUCCUGUAAGAUGAAUUCUGUUAUAAUCCCACUCUCUAGAUAAAGAAUUCAAGGCACCAAGAGUUUAGUUCAUGAGCAGUAAGAGAUUUGGGCCCAAGUGGUUUUGUGUCAAAGCUUAUGCUUGGCAUAAUUUUUUGAUAGAGAGCCAGAUGGUAAAUAUUUUGGAAUAUUAGUGUUCAAAUAGUCUGUGUCACAACUAGUGCCUCUGCUGUUGUAACAUAAAAGCAGCCAUAGCCAAUGUAUAAAAGAAUAGCUGUCAACUUAAAUGCCCAUCAAUGAUAGAUUGGAUAAAGACGAUGUGGUACAUAUACACUAUGGCAUACUAUGCAGCCAUGAAAAACAAUGAGAUCAUAUCCUGUGCAGGAACAUGGAUGGAACUGGAGGUCCUUAUCCUUAGCAAACAAACACAAGAACAGAAAACCAAAUAUUGCAUGUUUUCACUUAUAAGCAGGAGCUAAAUGAUGAGAACACAUGGAUACAUAGAGGGGAACAGCACACACUUGGGCCUAUUGGAGGGUGGAGGGUGGGAGUGGGGAGAGGAUCAGGAAAAAUAACUAAUGGGUAGUAAGCUUAGUACCUGGGUGAUAAAAUAAUCUGUAUAACAAACCCCUAUGACACAUGUAUACCUAUGUAACAAAGUGGCACAUGUAACCCUGAACUUAAAAGUUAAGAAAAAAGAAUGGGUUAUGUAUGUGUUCUAAUAAAACUUUACUUGUAAAAACUGGUGAAGGCCAGAAUCUGGGUUGUCACAUGGGGCAGGAAGAGAUGAGGACUGAGGAAAAGAGGAAGAAGUCAAGACAGAGGAAUAAGGGAG
rnacentral:lncRNA from 10 species